rnacentral:rRNA from 1 species
GCCCUUGCAACAGAGUUUGAUCCUGGCUCAGGAUGAACGUUGGCGGCGUGCCUAACACAUGCAAGUCGAACGGGAGGCCCUCCUUCGGGAGGGUUGAGAGUGGCGCACGGGUGAGUAACACGUAGCUGACCUGCCCUGGAGAGGGGAAUAACCGAUGGAAACAGCGGCUAAAACCCCAUGAACCCGCCCUGACUAAACAGGGGCGAGCAAACACUACGGUGCUCUGGGAUGGGGCUGCGGGCCAUCAGCUAGUUGGUGUGGUAAUGGCGCACCAAGGCGAUGACGGCUAGGGGGCCUGAGAGGGUGAACCCCCACACUGGGACUGAGACACGGCCCAGACUCCUACGGGAGGCAGCAGUCAGGGAUAUUGCGCAAUGGACGAAAGUCUGACGCAGCGACGCCGCGUGGGUGA